GGGGGUGAACGGUUUCGACAUUGGACGUUGACGCAGGGGAAGCGGGCCGAGGAAGCCGUGAUGAUCUCGUAAACCAAUAACACGGCAAAAAAACAAAUGCCAACUCGAAGCAGAUGGCCAAGAGCUCGCUCACCCUCGCUGCCUGAUCUAUUAACUAGUUCAGAGUGAGAGUGUGCACAACGCUCUUUGUCGCCCCAGGAUCGCCCCCGACCUGGACGCGGCAUCGCUAGGGGGCUCAACCUCAUGAGCAGGCUACGGGCGAAUGAGGGAAACUUACGUGGCUGGGCUUGUCGGUGACCCGUCCCGGGGAUCACCGGAGCCGAGAAAAUCGAACGGGACUACGCCCGUAGAAGCCCUGCAGAGCCGCCGAUGGACCCGGGUUCGAUUCCCGGCACCUCCACAA
rnacentral:tmRNA from 1 species